rnacentral:rRNA from 1 species
GACGUAGGGCGCGAGCGUUGUCCGGAUUUAUUGGGCGUAAAGAGCUCGUAGGCGGCUUGUCGCGUCGACUGUGAAAUCCCGCGGCUCAACUGCGGGUCUGCAGUCGAUACGGGCAGGCUAGAGCUCGGUAGGGGAGACUGGAAUUCCUGGUGUAGCGGUGAAAUGCGCAGAUAUCAGGAGGAACACCGGUGGCGAAGGCGGAUCUCUGGGCCUUACCUGACGCUCAGGCGCGAAAGCUAGGGGAGCGAACAGG